AAAUGUUUAGGCCUUGUGACCCUGGAUGGGCACUUAAAAGGAAAGAAAGUUUUUUCUUUCCUUUUAAGUGCCCAUCCAGGGUCACAAGGC